CAUUUGGGAAACUAGUGUCCCUUUAAGUCAUACCUAUCCUUAAUACUAUUUAGCUUUACUAUACAAUUUUGUCAGUGAUGUUUUGGAUUUCUUGUUCACCUAAAAUAUUCCCCAAUGUCUCAUCAACCUUGCUGUUAUUUAGACAACAUGAGUGUAGCUACGCAUGAAUGCACAUAAGCUGUUUUAAUCAUUUAUAGUUGUUUGUGGUGGCAUGGUGAAAUU